rnacentral:misc_RNA from 1 species
ACCUACUGUUUAAUUUUGAGGGUUCGUUUUUACGAAUGCUCAAAAUUAGCACUUUAAGCAACGGGAUUUAUCCGUUGGCGCUGUGCGUUAGCACUUUAAGCAACGGAAUUUAUUCGUUGGCGCUGUGCAUUAGCACUUUGAAAACUGCAUAUAUAUAUUUAGUGAUAUGACAUCUAAUUUGUAAUAUAUAAAGCUGAUAACUUUUUAAAAUUAUCGAAGUUGAUAGCUUCUAAUCUAUCAAACCUUUUUAACUGGUCAA